GGGCUGCAGCAUGGAGGCGAAGCUGCGUAGGGAGGCUUGAGGCCUGCUGUCGUGUUCACCCUAGCCUGUUCGCCUUUACCUCGAGGUGAUGAAGUCUGUCUAAGGCCUUUCGGCAUCGACUCUUACGCUUUACUAAGACAGAGGCAGAAAGAUUUUUAUCUCCCAUUGGAGAUAAAAACAGAAUCACCCAGAGCCCAGUCAUGGAGUUAGCCUUAGAAGGAAUAAUCUUUCUUCAGAGCUGAGGCCUCAGGUAUGCAUACAACAUGCAACACUGCUGUCAAAUACAGGCAAGAACACUUGAAUUCAACCUUCAAAUUGGGAAAUCACUGGCCUUCUCCAACUCCACUGACAGCACAGUAGUGAUAAAGCUCACCUGGACAGCUACAUGGUAUGAAAGUACCAUGAAGAAGGAGACAAUCCUACGCCCCAGAGAGCCAGGCAGAAUACACACACUGUGCAGAAUGAGUUCAUAGCACUGAGGUCCAUCUACAGGAGCCUCUCACUCUCCUGGGGAAGCUUCGUGUGCCACACAGAAGAUGGAAAAGCAGAAAUGUUUUGGUUUUUUUUCCCCUCCAGCCAGAGACCUUAUGUCACAGCCUCACUGACAGCAACACAGUUCUUCAAGGUCUCAGCUGUUUUAGGGGAAUCACGGGGCAGUUCAGGUGGAAAGAUACCAUCGCUCUUCAAAAAAAUAUUAACAACAGUUGUUAAAAAGUCUGUUCUCUUCUGUAGCAUUUCCUUAAAUGUGGAAAGAAAAAAAAAAGCUUC